AGCCUGAGUUUCUUUCAUUGUCGACAAAUCUUUCGCUUUUUACUAGCAAGAUUUCCGUGGAGGGAACUUCUUUGCAAGUGAUCUAGAGCUUUUUGGGGGCUCUGCUCAUGUUAGAGCU